rnacentral:lncRNA from 10 species
UUUUCAGUUCUGUCUUCCUGAGGCUGCUGUUUCUGGGCAUGGCCAGGGGAUCUUCAGACUUUACAAACCAGUUGUGCAGAGCCAGGCAUUUCAAUAAGGAACAAAAUGCUGAGUAACAACAUGAAGUCAGAGUGUUGCUUGCCAAGAGCUGGGAGGCCUGGGUGGUUUCCCAAUCUUAAAGAAGCAGAAGGAUAUUAAAGUGAGCCUCCCAAAGGAAAACGUGGAUCUACUUACCAACGCAGAAAAUGAUACACACGGAUUCGAUUUAGGCACGCUACAUUCAAAUGACUUGGAAGAGCAGGUUCUCUGAGCCAGGAUACUAAAGUCCCUGUUUAGGAAAGAGCCACGUUGUAUGUUUACCCUACCACAAAGAUAGAAUUCUGGAGGAAAGUGGCUCUGGGAAUUGAACAGUGGCUCAGUGAUGUUGGGGCCACCAAGUCUGCAAUUCUCCCUACCUGUUCUUCAUGGUUGUAAGAUGACUGCUGCAAUUCUCGGCAUCAUGUGCAUGUUAAUGUCAGGAGGAAGAAAGGAAGAGGGAGCACUGGGAUGUUACAUUCAUUUUGUCAGGAAAAGCAAAGCCUUUCCAGACAGCUCCGAAACUUGCUUACCUCUCAUUGGCCAGCACCAUCACUUGACCACUUGUCCACUCCUAGCUGCAAGGAAAGUGGCAAAGUAGAAGGUAUUUGAGAAUGUCUGCUGGGUUAGCCAAAACAAUAGUGACUUCUACACCCAAUUUUCUGGGCACUGCAGAAGUAUCCUUGAGUCCUAUGUGAUCAGAGGGAGAGCAAACCUCAAUAAUGAAACAGAUUCAAUUUCCAUCACCCAGUGAGACACCAUGGGAUUAGAAUAAAUUUUUAAAAAAACAAAUUGAAAAAAAUGCAUUUUUAAAACAACAAAAUCAGAAAGGAUGAAAGGUGAUAUUUCUAGCAUAUCAGUUUGUGGUGGUAAAUUAAUUACCUUAUACAAAGGCCUCAGUGACUUUCUUCUCCUUACCUAACGAAUCAUCUUUAAAAUAAGUAAAAUAAAGAAACAAGAGCAGCAGCAGAUGCUUCCUAAAAAGAAGUUACCAAAUCUGUUCACCACAAACCUGAGAAUUCAACUGUGGACAUUUGGACACCAGCAAUGAACAUGAAACUCAGCUUAUGAGGCAUAUUUGGCUAAAGGUCAAGGUGACUUAAAGUUCAUCAUAGGACAUCUACAAUUUGCAAAGCAGGUGACUGGAUAUGGACUCCUUCCAAGUCUCAUUUAAUUGGAUAAUGCCUACGUUUUAAGUAUCAGAAGUGAGUCUUUCUCUAUUAAAUGAAGUCAGUUCCACUAAAACCUAAAUCUUGUUUGGCAGGCACUCCAUGUUUCUUAAUUUUUAUUCCAUGCUGUAUAUUCUUUUAGACUUGAUUUUCACUUUUUUUUCUUUUUUCCUGUACAUUUAUCUUUGCUGUGAAACAAAGUGCCCUGCUUUGAAGGACAGGUUUGUGGGCUGCUGGUGGUGAGACAACAGCAGUCCUUCCAAGUCUUCCUCCCAUCACUCUGUUAGCUCUCCCUUUGUUUUUAAUUAGCAUUACACCAGUUAAUUCUGUUAUCUCUUAACCCUGGUUCUGCAUCCUCUUCUUCUUUUCUAUUCCUUACUCCGCUCCUGUUUUUUCUUGUUCUGCUUUUCCAAGAAAUGUCUUGUCUCCUCAUCAGUUGACUGUCUUCUCUUUCCAGAGGGACCAUAAAGGUGCCAGCCUAAGGAACACGUAAAACGUGGGAACAGACAAACAAGCUGCUGCCUAUUACAGAGAUAGAUAAUUAACUUUGGACCAUUACAUGCAAUUCAUCAGCUUAUCUUUUUCAAACUUUAUAUAAGAAGUCAUUUCCCAAUGGUAACCACUUGCCAGCUGCAACUUUGACGCAUAUUAUCAGGAUAGGUGAGAUUGAUGGGGGCCCUUUGAACUCUUCCCAGGGAAUUAUCUUUAUAAUGUUACAGUUUUCUCUAUAGCAUGGUCAUAUUGUUAACAUUGGUUAUAAGGUCAUAUGGUUAGUAUGGUUAGUAUUGGUGGCUCACAGCUGUAAUACCAGCACUUUGGGAGGCCAAGGUGGGAGGAUCACUUGAGCCCUGGUGUUCAAAACCAGCUCUGGAAACAUAGCAAGACCUUGUCUCUACAAAAAAAAAUUAAAUAAAUUAAAAGAUUAGCUGGGCAUGGUGGCACAUGCCUGUAGUCCUCACUACUUGGGAAACUAAGGUGGGAGGAUCCUUUGAGCUUGGGAGGUUGAGGCUGCAGUGAGCUGUGGUUGUGCCAUGGCACUCCAGCCUGGGUGACAGAGUGAGAGCCUGUCUCAAAAAAAAAAAAAAAAAAAAAAAAAAGUACCUGUAAGGUCUUUGGGAUUUUGAAGAUGAAAGGUGUUGCAUAAAUUGAAUGAAUUCACUUAGAGAGAUAGAAGGCAACUACAGGGAAUAUUACGUACAUCAUGGAGCGGAAAGCACUAAGGCCUGUGGAAUUAUUCUCAGUGACACGUCGUUGAGGGCAGUGGUCCACAUGUUUUGAACAUGGUUUCUCCCAGGUGAAAAGGAUGAGUAAUUUGUUCUCCUUCACAUGUGUGUAUGUAGGUCUUAUACACAGCAGAUUUGCCACAAAACAAAUGAAGAUUACACUUUGGGCCCCUCUCUCACAUGAGCCCCUUCCAAAGUUCUGUUUGCUAAUUUUACAUUUUGUAAUUUCUUAUUAUUUUUCUUAAAGAAGCCUCCUCCAAUUGCAUAAACUUCAAGCCUCACAAAAUUUGGAUCCAUACCUGAGCCAACAUACAAUACAAUUUUCCAUUUCUAA